UUACCUACCGGGACGCAGCAGUGAGGAAUAUUGGUCAAUGGCCGAGAGGCUGAACCAGCCAAGUCGCGUGAGGGAAGACGGCCCUACGGGUUGUAAACCUCUUUUGUCGGGGAGCAAAGAGAGUCACGUGUGACUCAUUGAGAGUACCCGAAGAAAAAGCAUCGGCUAACUCCGUGCCAGCAGCCGCGGUAAUACGGAGGAUGCGAGCGUUAUCCGGAUUUAUUGGGUUUAAAGGGUGCGCAGGCGGAGGUGCAAGUCAGCGGUCAAAUUGCGGGGCUCAACCCCGUACUGCCGUUGAAACUGCA
rnacentral:rRNA from 1 species